rnacentral:lncRNA from 1 species
CGUUUUAUCUUUUUAAUGUCUUUGAAAGUAAACAACUGAUUAUCCAAAAGCAUUCUUUGCAGGUCUUUGAGCCUCACUGAGAAAUUCUGGAGUAUAUCUCAUCUGCUCUCCUGGUUCUGCAAAAACUGGUUCAAGUAGACCAGUGGCCUUGGAGUGUCUGUUCUCACUGUGGUGCUAGUGUCACUGGGACAACUGGGCAACUGGGCAUCAUGACAUAAAAAGGCUACAUUUUACUGCUCCUAAAUUGUUCUGUUUGGGGAGCUUUUUUCAGGAUAAUUGUAUCCUCUUCCUCCUCUUUUUUUUUUUCUUAAAAACAGAAAAAAAAUAAUGAAGAAAUUGGGGUUAAAGAGUAACAAGCAAUUUGCCCAAGGUCAUAGGUCUAAUGAGUAGCAGAGCCUGGACCUUCUGAUUACAAAUCUGCUUUUUGUACUGCUCAGCACUGAUUCACAUAUCACAAUAGCCUUGGGCCUGUAAUCACAUCCCUAGUUGCCUGCCUGCUGAGCUACAUCUGUGUUUUCAUGGAGAGAUUAGAAUUAUACCAGCAUUUCAACCCCAUCACUACCUUGCCCUAGCUAUGAGGUCUUGGGCAAGUUAUUUUUUCUCUGUGAACCUCAGUUUCCUCAAUCAGUAAAAUGGGUAUAAAGGCACUCAACAUUACGAGGGGCUUUUAAAGAAAAUGUCCGGUUGUUCAUAGGUACCUAAAGACUUCCCUUUAUCUUAUUAACUUUCUUUUGGCUUAUCUGACUCCAGCUAAAAUAAAUAUGUGUCUGAUCCUACACUGCACAACUUUCUUACCUGAUCCAAUCACCGAAACUUCCCCAUUCAGGUCAGCAUCUGAGCACUUCAGAUUCCAAACCUGUGUUGGAAGAUACGUCUCAUACAUAGGACUAAUCUUUCCAAAUAGACUUGAGUUAGCUUUCAAAGGAUUAGAUUAAGCCCAGAAUCUUUUUCUGAACUGAAAUGUAACUGCUACUCAACAUAUAUUUCAUUUACCAACAGAUGGCUGCAUUUAAUUCUGUUUACUACCAUAACAAGCUUCUCUAAACAUAGACAUGCCAAACUGGAUGUAGGUGUGUGAUUUUAGGGCCAUUCUUCAUUUACUUCUGAAAGUGUAACGAUUAAAAAAUUAUUUUAUAACUGGGGAAAAUGGAAUAAUGUUUACAAAAAGAGAAAGUUUGAAUCACAAACUUAAAAUGAAAGUGAGCUCAUCAGAAGGGUUGAUGGUGGUAGAGAUGGUACCCUGUGCCUUGGGCCCUGCCAGAAUGACCCAACGGGGAUGGGAGUUGUCAUGGCUUUAAUGUUUGUCCCCUUCAAAAUUCAUAGUGAAAUUUAAUUGCCAUUGUAACAGUAUUAAGACGUAGGACUUUUGAGAUGAUUAGGCCAUGAAGGCUCCACCUUCAUGGGUGGGAUUGGUGCAUUAUAUAAAGACAAACUUGGCCCUCUCUUGCUAUUGCUCUUUCUCUCACCUUCUGACAUGUAAUGUUUUAGCAAGAAGGUCCUUACCAGAUCCCAGCUCCUUGAUAUUGGACUUCUCACCCUCCAGGACUGUCCAUUAUAAGUCUCAGGUAUUGUGAUACAGCUGCACAAAAUUAUCUAAGACAGAAGUGGAGACCAGAAUCUCAGGACCUCAGUUAUUCAGAAGUCUGCCUUCUUAUUCUCCAAAUAGACUUAAAU